rnacentral:rRNA from 1 species
GGAAUUCCGAGUGUAGAGGUGAAAUUCGUAGAUAUUCGGAGGAACACCAGUGGCGAAGGCGGCUCACUGGCUCGAUACUGACGCUGAGGUGCGAAAGUGUGGGGAGCAAACAGGAUUAGAUACCCUGGUAGUCCACGCCGUAAACGAUGAGUGCUAAGUGUUAGGGGGUUUCCGCCCCUUAGUGCUGCAGCUAACGCAUUAAGCACUCCGCCUG